UACGUAGGGUGCAAGCGUUAAUCGGAAUUACUGGGCGUAAAGCGUGCGCAGGCGGUGAUGUAAGACAGUUGUGAAAUCCCCGGGCUCAACCUGGGAAUGGCAUUUGGGACUGCAAGGCUCGAGUGCGGCAGAGGAGACUGGAAUUCCUGGUGUAGCAGUGAAAUGCGUAGAUAUCAGGAGGAAUACCGAUGGCGAAGGCAGGUCUCUGGGCUGACACUGACGCUCAUGCACGAAAGCGUGGGGAGCAAACAGG
rnacentral:rRNA from 1 species